rnacentral:lncRNA from 1 species
CACCACUGACGACUCCCUCCAUCCCUGCCUCAGCAUCUGUGAGGAUACAAGAGCAAGAGCAGCUCUACCUGCGGUCUGGUGUGGUUUCCUCUGCGACCUUUGAGCAGCCAGGUCGGCAGGUCAAGCUGUGGGUGAAGAUGGUGACCCCGCUGAUCAAGAACUUCUUUUGAGAACAGGAAUGGCCUUGAUGAAGAUGACGGGCAUGACUGGGGUCAGAUCCUUCAGCUUUGCUUCAGCAAUGACUCCGGUCUGGGUGUCCCAGCGAGCUCCUGUGGGGACAAUGGAGCUGAGGGUCUGGGUGCCCCAGGGGAGGCAGAACCCACUGUUUGGAGUGCUGACUGUGAAAAAGGGAGGCACGGUAGGGAGAGAG